GCAAAUUUAAAAAGGGAUACAUGACAUUGCAAAUUCAUACAUACACCACAUUACACUUUUUUUUUUCCUUUUGUCCAUACAUGUUAACAAUUUGAUUUCAUCAUAUUAUACAUACAUACAUAAUAAAAACAAUUUUAAAAAAAGAGAAUUAAAAAAUAAGGAAAAGGAAAAAGUUAAGUCAUUGUUCAUGAGGCCCACACAUGAGUCCAUUGCUUCAAAUUUGCAGCAUGCCUUCAUCAUCUCAAGCCAUGUGAAUCUUCAUCCCAUCAAUAUCCUACUUACACAAAUAAAUAAACCAAAAUAAAUAAACUAAAAU
rnacentral:lncRNA from 1 species